UGUUUGGCUGCUGCAAGAGACCUGAUAGGCCU
rnacentral:piRNA from 1 species